GUGGUCGAGUGGUAAGGACACUUGCCUGUCACCCUGGAGUCCCGGAUUCGAUCCCCGGUCG
rnacentral:tRNA from 1 species